GCCAGGGUGGCUGAGUUCGGCUUAAAGCGCUGGACUUAAGAUCCAGUUGAUAUCCUCGCAGGUAUCACGCGGGUUCAAAUCAACACGGGAAAAUCCCGUCCCUGGCG
rnacentral:tRNA from 1 species